UACGAGUGCCUCAAGCGUUAUCCGGAAUCACUGGGCGUAAAGGGUGUGUAGGCGGUCAUGUUAGUCCACUGUCAAAUUCUUCGGCUUAACCGGGGUCGCAGUGGAAACGGCAUGACUUUGAGGGUGCGAGAGGUGAAUGGAACUCUAAGUGUAGGGGUGAAAUCCGUUGAUAUCGAGAGGAACACCAAUGGCGAAGGCAGUUCACUAGGCCGAUUCAGACACUGAGAUGUGAAAGCGUGGGGAGCGAACGGGAUUAAAACCCCGGUAGU
rnacentral:rRNA from 1 species